rnacentral:rRNA from 1 species
GACGAACGCUGGCGGCGUGCUUAACACAUGCAAGUCGAACGGAAAGGCCCUGCUUUUGUGGGGUGCUCGAGUGGCGAACGGGUGAGUAACACAUGAGUAACCUGCCCUUAUCUUUGGGAUAACUUCAGGAAACUGGGGCUAAUACCGGAUAGGAGCUCCUGCUGCAUGGUGGGGGUUGGAAAGUUUCGGCGGUUGGGGAUGGACUAGCGGCUUAUCAGCUUGAUUGUGGGGUAGUGGCUUAACAAGGCUUUGACGGGUAGCCGGCCUUAGAGGGUGACCGGCCACAAUGGGACUGAGAGACGGCGCAGAAUCCUACGGGACGCAGCAGUGGGGAAUAUUGCACAAUGGGCGGAAGCCUGAUGCAGCAACGCCGCGUGCGGGAUGACGGCCUUCGGGUUGUAAACCGCUUUCGCCUGUGACGAAGCGUGAGUGACGGUAAUGGGUAAAGAAGCACCGGCUAACUACGUG